CCUACGGGAGGCAGCAGUGAGGAAUAUUGGACAAUGGGCGCAAGCCUGAUCCAGCCAUGCCGCGUGCAGGAAGACGGUCCUAUGGAUUGUAAACUGCUUUUGUACAGGAAGAAACACUCCCUCGUGAGGGAGCUUGACGGUACUGUAAGAAUAAGGAUCGGCUAACUCCGUGCCAGCAGCCGCGGUAAUACGGAGGAUCCAAGCGUUAUCCGGAAUCAUUGGGUUUAAAGGGUCCGUAGGCGGUUUAAUAAGUCAGUGGUGAAAUCUGGUCGCUCAACGAUCAAACGGCCAUUGAUACUGUUAGACUUGAAUUAUUAGGAAGUAACUAGAAUAUGUAGUGUAGCGGUGAAAUGCUUAGAUAUUACAUGGAAUACCAAUUGCGAAGGCAGGUUACUACUAAUGGAUUGACGCUGAUGGACGAAAGCGUGGGGAGCGAACAGGAUUAGAUACCCUGGUAGUCCACGCCGUAAACGAUGGAUACUAGCUGUUCGGAGCAAUCUGAGUGGCUAAGCGAAAGUGAUAAGUAUCCCACCUGGGGAGUACGUUCGCAAGAAUGAAACUCAAAGGAAUUGACGGCUGAGACGAGACGACGACGACGACGAGGGAGGAGG
rnacentral:rRNA from 1 species